rnacentral:rRNA from 1 species
AUGCAGUCGAACGAACUCUUCGGAGUUAGUGGCGGACGGGUGAGUAACACGUGGGAACGUGCCUUUAGGUUCGGAAUAACUCAGGGAAACUUGUGCUAAUACCGAAUGUGCCCUUCGGGGGAAAGAUUUAUCGCCUUUAGAGCGGCCCGCGUCUGAUUAGCUAGUUGGUGAGGUAAAGGCUCACCAAGGCGACGAUCAGUAGCUGGUCUGAGAGGAUGAUCAGCCACAUUGGGACUGAGACACGGCCCAAACUCCUACGGGAGGCAGCAGUGGGGAAUCUUGCGCAAUGGGCGAAAGCCUGACGCAGCCAUGCCGCGUGAAUGAUGAAGGUCUUAGGAUUGUAAAAUUCUUUCACCGGGGACGAUAAUGACGGUACCCGGAGAAGAAGCCCCGGCUAACUUCGUGCCAGCAGCCGCGGUAAUACGAAGGGGGCUAGCGUUGCUCGGAAUUACUGGGCGUAAAGGGAGCGUAGGCGGACAUUUAAGUCAGGGGUGAAAUCCCGGGGCUCAACCUCGGAAUUGCCUUUGAUACUGGGUGUCUUGAGUAUGAGAGAGGUGUGUGGAACUCCGAGUGUAGAGGUGAAAUUCGUAGAUAUUCGGAAGAACACCAGUGGCGAAGGCGACACACUGGCUCAUUACUGACGCUGAGGCUCGAAAGCGUGGGGAGCAAACAGGAUUAGAUACCCUGGUAGUCCACGCCGUAAACGAUGAUUGCUAGUUGUCGGGAUGCAUGCAUUUCGGUGACGCAGCUAACGCAUUAAGCAAUCCGCCUGGGGAGUA